GAUGAACGCUGGCGGCGUGCCUAAUACAUGCAAGUCGAGCGAACGGACGAGAAGCUUGCUUUUCUGAUGUUAGCGGCGGACGGGUGAGUAACACGUGGAUAACCUACCUAUAAGACUGGGAUAACUUCGGGAAACCGGAGCUAAUACCGGAUAAUAUUUUGAACCGCAUGGUUCAAAAGUGAAAGACGGUCUUGCUGUCACUUAUAGAUGGAUCCGCGCUGCAUUAGCUAGUUGGUAAGGUAACGGCCUACCAAGGCAACGAUGCAUAGCCGACCUGAAAGGGUGAUCGGCCACACUGGAACUGCGACACGGUCCAGACUCCUACGGGAGGCAGCAGUAGGGCAUCUUCCGCAAUGGGCGACAGCCUGACGGAGCAACGCCGCGUGAGUGAUGAAGGUCUUCGGAUCGUAAAACUCUGUUAUUAGGGAAGAACAUAUGUGUAAGUAACUGUGCACAUCUUGACGGUACCUAAUCAGAAAGCCACGGCUAACUACGUG
rnacentral:rRNA from 1 species